ensembl:lincRNA
AUGCAAGCUGGGUGCGCUCCAGUCAGCGUAAAUCUUCUCAGUGGCUCUGCUUGUUUCCAUGGUGACCUGACAAGUGAAAUUUUCCAUCUCGGAUGCCAAAUGCCUGUGGAUGAGGCAAAGCCUCCAAGGGUUACCAAAUAUAGACACAGCCCAAGAGGCUCUGGGGCCAGGGCCAGCAGUGGGUUCAGGGUGGGAGUGUGGACCCCCCUGCCCAGAGGAUGCCAUUCUGGGCCUCUCAGAGACCUACUCUUCCUGCAGGCAGGACCCCAGCAGGGUAGCCAUGGGUGCAUCCUCGCUUCCCGUCCCACCAGUCUCAGAACACCAAGGCUUGGACGUUACUGGGACAGGGACACUCUGAGACAAUGUCUGCCUGGAAGUGGCUGUCCCACACCUGCCAGCUGCUGUGAUCCUCUAUCACUGUCUUCAACACGGACACUGGUAAGCAUCACCACGCACCAAGAUCCAGGCCUGGACUGCUGCUUGCCUUGGCGACAGCCCACGACAAAAGCUGCUUUGCCAAGUACUCUUUGGCCUUGUGGGGCCUCAUGCCUCUGGAUGGCCCUAGACUAGACAGUCACCCUGUAGCCACGUGGCUGUAAAUCAGCAGAGGGACUGCUCUUCUCUGUUCUGUCCCAGGUUGUAGGGAAAGGGGCCACAAGCUGCUUCUCCUCCAGGUACCUGACAGGCCAACUCAGCAUAAGUCAAACCUUGGUCUGGAGGAUAAGACCUCCUGGUGGCUUUAACCCUCAACUUCUGGGGCUCUGCACAGAGCAGAAGAGCUACCACGUGGACUCCACUCUCCAUGGGAGCAAGGGCUGCUUCUGCAGCCAAGGGCUUCUUCUUCUUUUUUUUUUUUUUUAAGAGAGAGAGAGAGAAUUUUGAUAUUUAUUUUUUAAUUUUUGGCAGGCACAUCUUUGUUGGUAUGUGGUGCUGAGGAUCAUCUUUGUUGGUAUGUGGUGCUGAGGAUCGAACCCAGGCCGCACGCAUGCCAGGCGAGCACGCUACUGCUUGAGCCACAUCCCCAGCCCAGCCAAGGGCUUCUCUUGGCCAUUUGGCUCCUGAGGCUGAGGGGCCAUCGUGGGGGCCUGUGUGGAGCAUGAAGAACUCCACAUGGUAGUGGGAGGACUGUGGACAGAUCCUUUCACAAUGGAACCACCCUGGGUGCCUGGAGGCAGGGCAGGGCAGGGUGUGAAGGUAUAGGUACUGGGAACAACUGGAGCCCCCAGUGGGAGAAGCUGGGAAGGGCCUCCUUCACAGCACUAUCUGCAAGGAGCAGGGGUCCCAAACUGCAAUGAGGGCCCUAAAGGGAAGAAGCCCAAGUUCACAGGACCCUUGAAGGGUAAGAAUUCCACCAGGCUUUGCCUGGGGAAUCUCAACUUUGCCAUGUGGCUUCAGGGGAGACGUUUCCCAUGACCCUACUCCUCUGCUCCGAGAACAGGAUGAGCAAAACUGCCAAGAUCAAACAUGGCCUCCCCCAUCCACACUGUCAGCAAAUCAUUCCCUGGUCCCUUGGCCAUUUGCUCGUGACACUCAUGUUGACUCCCAUUUGUGACUCCUCUGGCUUUGCCACCCAAUAAAGGUAUGCGGACACCCCACCACCCCUGCCUACACUGCGAUUGCUACAACACUGCAC